AGGACGAACGCUGGCGGCGUGCUUAACACAUGCAAGUCGGGCGGUAAGGCCUUUCGGGGUACACGAGCGGCGAACGGGUGAGUAACACGUGGGUGAUCUGCCCUGCACUUCGGGAUAAGCCUGGGAAACUGGGUCUAAUACCGGAUAUGACCUCAGGUUGCAUGACGUUGGGGGUAGAAAGUAUUUAGUCGGUGCGAGGAGUCGGGCCCGCGGCCUAUCCGAGUCGUUUGGUUGGUGGGUAAUCGGACCUACGAAGGCGACGACGGGUAGCCGACUGAGAGGGUCGACCGGCACGACGUGGGACUGGACGACCGACGGCCCAGACCGUACCGUACGGGAGC
rnacentral:rRNA from 1 species